UUGUUCGGAAUUACUGGGCGUAAAGCGCACGUAGGCGGCUUUUUAAGUCAGGGGUGAAAUCCCGGGGCUCAACCCCGGAACUGCCCUUGAAACUGGAGAGCUAGAAUCUUGGAGAGGCGAGUGGAAUUCCGAGUGUAGAGGUGAAAUUCGUAGAUAUUCGGAAGAACACCAGUGGCGAAGGCGACUCGCUGGACAAGUAUUGACGCUGAGGUGCGAAAGCGUGGGGAGCAAACAGG
rnacentral:rRNA from 1 species